rnacentral:lncRNA from 1 species
CGCUCUCCUGUGGCACAGCGAACGGGUGGGGGGAGCUUUGAGUCUGGGGUGGGGGCAGAAGCACCGAGGGGAUGAUUCUGUACUAGGGAAAAGAGGCUUGCUUUAGAAUCUAUAAAGGAAAACACGGGCCCAAGCCCCCCUUGCUUGAGGGUCGCCUUCCCUUCCAGCACAGCUGGGCUCCCUCCUGCUCGAUUGAAAGCUGUACAACAAAACUGUCUUUUCGGCCCUGGCUCUCUUUUCUCUCCCAGACGGGCUGGCACCUUCCACCCUGGCUGCUGCGGGCCAGGGAUGGGCUGUCCUGUGGACACACACCUCACGGAGCCGUGUUAUCCCACCAGCAACAUUGUUCUUGGGUCCUACAAUGAGGAUUCACAAAUUCCAGUGUGCGCGGGGAGCCAGGAGUAUGUUUACGAGAUUCUGGAAUGUGGACAUGUGUAACUCUGGCUCCGUUAUCGUCACCACUGCACUACUGUCAUUCUAGUGCAUGACUAUGUCAUUCCUCCAAGAAAGGCUCCUUGCAGCCCCCUGACGGGUGGCUGUGCUCACGGGGGGCCCUCCCUUGUGCAGAAAGCUCCAGUUCUAUGAGUGCUCCCCACUUCUAUAGAUGCCCCUUUAGGGCGCUAGGGCCCUUCUCUCCCUCUCCAAACCAUUGCUUCAAGGAGGAGAAAUGUGAGUGCAUUUCAAGCAGCUUGGUGUUUCCCAUAAAUCAAUUUUGAAAGUCAAACUUCAGCAGUAGGGGCCACAGCUGCACACAGCUGAGCGCGCCCCUGGCCUGGACGGAAGGGGUCGUGUGCCCCACAGGAACCGGCGCCUCCCACAAGGACAGGGCACCCUGGCAAGCCCUUCUCCAGCACCCAGGGGAGACUCUUGGCACAGCGCUCUCCCUGGUUUGAGGCCCACCCUCCUGUCUGCCCUGACCGCUCUGGCUUGGCCCAGCGGGACUCCAGUGUGGGCUUUGCUGCCUGGCUUGAAGGCUGUGGGUGUGCCAGCGCUGGGGAGUGGGGAGACGUUCUGGAACCUGGUGGGUGGAGUUACCUUUUAGACCCUGGGGAAGGAGAGGGCAGC